rnacentral:rRNA from 1 species
UACGGAAGGCAGCAGUGGGGAAUAUUGCACAAUGGGCGCAAGCCUGAUGCAGCCAUGCCGCGUGUAUGAAGAAGGCCUUCGGGUUGUAAAGUACUUUCAGUCGUGAGGAAGGUGUUAAGGUUAAUAACCUUAGCAAUUGACGUUAGCGACAGAAGAAGCACCGGCUAACUCCGUGCCAGCAGCCGCGGUAAUACGGAGGGUGCGAGCGUUAAUCGGAAUUACUGGGCGUAAAGGGCACGCAGGCGGUUAAUAAGUUGGAUGUGAAAUCCCCGGGCUUAACCUGGGAAUGGCAUUCAAGACUGGUUAGCUAGAGUCUUGUAGAGGGGGUAGAAUUCCAUGUGUAGCGGUGAAAUGCGUAGAGAUGUGGAGGAAUACCGGUGGCGAAGGCGGCCCCUGGGACAAGACUGACGCUCAUGUGCGAAAGCGUGGGGAGCAAACGAGGAUUAGAUACC